rnacentral:rRNA from 1 species
AGGAGCUUGCUCUUUCCGGAUGAGUUGCGAACGGGUGAGUAACGCGUAGGUAACCUGCCUGGUAGCGGGGGAUAACUAUUGGAAACGAUAGCUAAUACCGCAUAACAGUAGAUAUUGCAUGAUAUCUGCUUGAAAGGUGCAAUUGCAUCACUACCAGAUGGACCUGCGUUGUAUUAGCUAGUUGGUGAGGUAACGGCUCACCAAGGCGACGAUACAUAGCCGACCUGAGAGGGUGAUCGGCCACACUGGGACUGAGACACGGCCCAGACUCCUACGGGAGGCAGCAGUAGGGAAUCUUCGGCAAUGGACGGAAGUCUGACCGAGCAACGCCGCGUGAGUGAAGAAGGUUUUCGGAUCGUAAAGCUCUGUUGUAAGAGAAGAACGAGUGUGAGAGUGGAAAGUUCACACUGUGACGGUAUCUUACCAGAAAGGGACGGCUAACUACGUGCCAG